rnacentral:rRNA from 1 species
GACGAACGCUGGCGGCGUGCUUAACACAUGCAAGUCGAACGGUAAGGCCCUUCGGGGUACACGAGUGGCGAACGGGUGAGUAACACGUGGGUGAUCUGCCCUGCACUUCGGGAUAAGCCUGGGAAACUGGGUCUAAUACCGGAUAGGACCCUGGGAUGCAUGUCCUGGGGUGGAAAGCUUGUGCGGUGUGGGAUGGGCCCGCGGCCUAUCAGCUUGUUGGUGGGGUGAUGGCCUACCAAGGCGACGACGGGUAGCAGGCCUGAGAGGGGUACCGACCACCCUGGGGCUGAGGUACGGCCCAGACUCCUACGGGAGGCAGCAGUGGGGGAUAUUGCACAAUGGGCGCAAGCCUGAUGCAGCGACGCCGCGUGAGGGAUGACGGCCUUCGGGUUGUAAACCUCUUUCAGCACCGACGAAGCGCAAGUGACGGUAGGUGCAGAAGAAGGACCGGCCAACUACGUGCCAGCCGCCGCAGUAA